CACUCAGUUGUGGCUUGCAAAGCUCAGGUGCAACGACUACUUUUUGUUUUCAAAAAGCAAUGCGUUUUGUUACAAGGCUUAUAUCAAGUUAUCAAUUCACUCUGCCUGUAUGUCUGUCUGUCUGAUGGAAAAGCUGGGUAUCAAGACUCGUCACCUGAAAGCAUGUUUUUCCAUCAAAUUUUGUUUGAUUACACUAGGGAUUCUCAUUACGUUAACCUUCUCACUAUUUUACACCAUCACAAAUGAGAACAUGGAGGAAAUUACGUCAUCCUGUAAAAAAAGCGAUUACGACGUUGUACGAACGAAAUCUCCGAUCCAUGUCGAGAACGACCGAGUCCAAACAAUGAAUGAGAUCAGAAGACUGAGGGGAAACUUUGUCUUGAGCAAAUCCCUGGGCACCUACCUCACCCCGCUGACUAAAGCUUUGACUGCAUUCAAUGACUCAAUCUCUGAGUACAUUCUAAGGUCUGGUCUAGGUCUCGAGUCUUACACUACUGAGGAAAAGGAAGACAUUUGGACGGAAAACGGAAUUCAGUAUCGACCAUUUCCAUAUUUGGAAAAGGCAGACAACCCAUUUUAUACUUCAGAAUUUGAAGCUUACGUCCCUUUUGAUAGAUCAUUAUUUUUCGAAAGAGAUGAAGAUAAGGCAUCACGUGACGUUCAACAGAAGAAGAUCAUAUUAUGGUGGCAACACAAGAUCGCACAGGCUCCAAUAGAUGGGCUCCAACCGCUGCGGGCAUGUCCAGACUUCCCUUGUGUUGUAACAUCGGAUAGAAACUACACAGCAAUGAGCAGCGCAAUGCUAAUCAACGCUCAGUUCGUCAAUGGGGAAAGCCCUCCAAAAAGACGAGCAGAUCAAGUACUUAUACAUUACCAGAUUGAAGCUCCGAAUGACUACUGGUUCUAUGGGGAUUUGUUUGCGACAGACAAUGGCUGGAACGGUAUCUUCAACUGGACCAUGUCUUACCGAAUGGACGCCGAUAUUACGACCUAUCACGGGGUUGUCAGGAGACGCCGUGCGGUCAGGCGACGAGAUUACCGCGAGAUAUUAGCCAAGAAGACGGGGGUGGUGGCCUGGAUGGUGUCGAACUGUGAGACAAGCUCCAGGAGAGAAAAUUACAUCGCAGAGCUUCAGAAAUAUCUACAAGUGGAUGUCUAUGGUAAAUGUGGGAAGCAUAAAUGCCCCAGAAUAUGUGAUAGGCAAUGCCUUCAGGACAUCAACGAGAAAUACAAGUUUUACAUCGGGUUUGAGAGUAGCCUUUGUAGAGAUUACAUUACAGAAAAACUGUACAGAUACUUCAACACCGACAUGAUCGUGAUAGCUCGAGGUCACGACACCUACUCGCGACUUCUUCCGUCGGAGAUAUUUAUCAACACGGCCAACUUUAAAUCCCCUAAAGAGCUUGCUGAGAUGAUUCUCUACCUCGACUCCCACGAUGAGGACUACAUCGCGAUGCUGAAAGAGAAAGAUAAGUAUGUGUCUGUGUACGAAGACUACCCGCUCAAUAAUUCUUUUCUAGAGUAUCGCUACGAAGCUGUGCCCAUGUGUGAGGUUUGUAGACGUCUUUGGAACUUGAAGAAUUACGCAAAAGUUUACCAUGAUAUGUCGGCCUGGUUUUACAAGAAAGAGUAUCAAUGCCUUACCCCGCAAGACAUUGAAUACUGGGCAAAAAAACUUUUCAAACAAAUGCUAUUUUUCCUAACCUUGAUUAUCUUUUUGAUUUUAUUAAGUGUGUUUACGUUGUAUCGUAUUCUGAGAAUCGUCCCCACCUAUUUAAUACCUGGAAAUGUAAGAUGAAACCUGAUCUGGGGCCACAUAGGACAAGGACAUAAUGCAAGACGAAUGUGACAUAGCUAUUGCUUGUUCAAGUGUGUCAUUUGACAUGCAUGACUGAAUCAGUCUAAACCAAAGUUCCUUAAAUUAAUCACUCUUGGACUUAUUCUUCUUCUACCCAAAAAGUCUUUCUGAUCAAGGAAUCUGAAUUAGUUGAACGCUUCAGACUGCAUCCCAACAGAGCACAAGAAAUAAGUGAACUAUUUUCUAUACACACAUCGACCUAAUAAACAAUGUGUCCUAGUUUAUAUGGAUAGUUUAUCUUAAGAAGACACCACAAAGAAAGGAGCUAGAAUACUCAUCAAUUACUAUGGAUCCGAGAUACUAGAAAUGUCCAUUGCAACUGGUGAGCACUCUGAUAGCCAUAGAGAAGAAAGAGGAGCACUAGACUUAGAAGCUACCAGGCAAGUACAUCACUUAAGUACGCUGAACAUUUAGAUAGUUUUCUGACCAAUGCCAAAAAAGUUCUUAAAAGUUUGAAGACUCUGAUGCCUCCUAUGUGAAACAACUGAGGACAUUGUCAACAAGAACAGCAAGAAAACUCAUCUCCAAUACAUCCCAGAACAUAAUUAAAUAAGUAAAUAGAAGGCUGACAUACUUGUCCAUCCGUGGAAUGAUUUAGCAAUCGAAAAUUCCACUCUAUCUGAAAGAAACUAAGAAACUAAAAGUGGGUCGAAUGAACGAGAAAUUAACACAGUACCAUCCGAAGUACAAUAAAGCUAUCCAACACGAUCAACGUCUAACUUUUCAAACAGGACACAACAGAAUUUCCGAACGCUAAAAAUUGGGACAACCAAAACUUAACACUUGUGGGGAGUCAACAGAGAAUGCCGACUAUAUCCUUCAAAAAUGAUUUUUCAGAUGCAAGAACAAGACAUGGGCCCCAAAACUAUAUUGAGAGCUGCCAGAUCUAGAAACUAAUGCGCAGUUCAUCUCAGUCUAGUCAUCUGAACACUCCAAUAUAAUAAUAAGAGCGCAGAAGAACGCUUUACUUAUUUGCUUUAUUCUUGUGCACUCACAGAAGAGUCCUUAGCUCCAACACCUUUCUAUUUAUUCUGAACUCCUGAAGACGCUCUCCAGCAGCAGAUGAAGAUUUGAGAUCAUUUCUGUGGAUGGCGUUGUUUGCGUUGUAUUAGAUGUCAAUAAUUUCAAGUCAAACGUCAGGAGUCAGACUAUAGAUCUAUGUUGAAUGUACUGGGAGACCCUCAGUUCUCUCAGGUCGCUGCGGAUGCAAUUGUCAGUUAAAGAAGUGACAGAAAACACAUAGAUAUCUCCAGACUUGAAGAAAACUUGAGGAACACAUUGAUAUCUCCAGACUUGAAGAAAACUUGAGGAACACAUUGAUAUCUCCAGACUUGAAGAAAACUUGAGGAACACAUUGAUAUCUCCAGACUUGAAGAAAACUUGAGGAACACAUUGAUAUCUCCAGACUUGAAGAAAACUUGAGGAAAACGUACAAACAACAAUCUUGAAGUUGAACGAAUAUGAAAACAUAGAGAGACUGAGUGACAGAGCGUUCGGCUUCCAAACCACUGAAGACUUGGACCAAGUUUUACAAAAACAUAUGCACUUAAGUUUUUAGUGUUUACAGGUUAAUUUUGAGCCUCGGGAUAUUUAAGACGCCCCUGUAACCACCCUACUCUAAUAUGUACCUGGCAUACGUCGGGAAAGUAAGGGCGCUGGCAGCUUAAUACCAUUGUUAAAUGGUCUACCAUAAAACAAUGAGCUAUAUUUCUAGGGCCCCCUCUUGCCCGGGAGCCCCCCCCCCCCAAAAAAAAAAUAGUCACAGUUAUAUUAUCAAUCAUUUUGAAGAAAUAGCCUUUCAAAGGGUCCCUUAUCUCUAAAAGUUUGGGGCCUUGUCAAGUUUAAGUCUGGCUUUGCAUUGAAAAAGAUGAGAACUCCACUGAUUAAUAAUGAGCUGUAAACGUCAGGAGAAUGCGUUUCUUCAGUGAAAAAUGCAUGAAAACGCUUUAAGCGUCGGGGCUUCGCCCCGAAAUUCACGGAUGAAUAGUGAGCUGUAGAUGUCAGGAGCAGGCAUUUCUGCAGUGAAAAAUGCAAGAAAACGCUUUUGGCGUCGGGGCUUCGCCCCGAACUCCAAUGAUGGAUGAAGAGCUGUAGAUGUCAGGAGAAUGCGUUUCUGCAGUGAAGAAUGCAAGAAAAUACUGAGAAAUACUGCUUAUUAUUAUUAUUAUUAUAUAUAUAUAUAAUAUAUAUAUAUAUAUAUAUAUAUAUAUAUAUAUAUAUAUAUAUAUAUAUAUAUAUAUAUAUAUAUAUAUAUAUAUAUAUAUAUAUAUAUAUAUAUAUAUAUAUAUAUAUGCUGUACGCACGUUUAUGUACAGGGUUAGGGUUUCCUGGGCGUUAGGGUUAGGGUUUGGAAAAAAAUCGCCCCCCCACUCCAAAGUUCUGGAUCCGCUAGUGGCCUAUGGUCAAGGAAUAUUUAAGCCAUGACCUUGUUUUGAUUGUCUUAAGUAACAUAAUGUCAAAGAUUCAUUGUUAAAUAAAAGCUAAUUACACAAUCUAUUAUGGAUAAUGAUACUUGAAGAAAUCUAAUUGUAAUACAUGUCAGAAGAUUGAUUUUUAAUAAUCAUUUAGAGUUGUUUUAACUUGAAAACAAACUGAAAAGGUAAUAAAAUGAAGUUUCUGUCUUAUAUUAAAUUUUUCUUUGCUUUUCAAUAAAUUUACUAGUUUAUUGAUACAAACGACAGACAGACGACAAAAAACAAAUAGCUGCUCUUCACCUUACGAGGUCUGCUAAAAAAAGAUUAUUUGAGACUUUUAUUGGAACUAACAGUGUCAUCUGCGUAGACAAAAGGCAAGCCAAUGAACGAGCCUUUGUGUAGUAACAUUUAGACCUUAAAAUAUGAAUAUCUCAGCUUUUUCUAGAUCUAGUCGUACAAUAAUCAAUUUUGCGAUUGGAAAUAUUUUUUUUUUAAUUGCUUUAGGCCUGUAACAUCGUAACUUUUAGGCUAACAGCUUGCUCAUUGCGCUAUGGUCCAAUCUUUCUUGUGUCUUCGUUUUGUCUAGCCGGAUACUUCCUUUUGUAGGGUCGUCUUUGUAAUAAGUAUGACUUUUUGACCCCUUUAGCACGACGACUCCUAACAACGUCAGAGCAAUUCGUUAGAAAACAAAAGCGGCUGGACAGCCUAUACACGUGAGCCCUACUUAC